GUGACCUCACCGCGAGGCCGACUCACUUAUUUGGACAUUAAGUAAAGCUCUGAGCCAGAGGGGGGAGAAGCUCCUCCCACUCUGCUUCAGGCUAUGAGAAAACACACGAAACAAGACACCACUAAGAAGCAGGCCUAAGGAAGAGAUCCGCGUCCCUCCAUUGGCUUCCGCCGCCCCUGAGCCGUGACACCAUGACUUUGCUGACGCACCUGGUGAUCAAAGGUGAUAACAGCCCGAAGACGCACAGAAUUCAACAUAUUGCAAUGGCUUUAUUAUUCAUGAUAAACAAGCCCGAUACCAGUAAAUAAAAUGGCCUUCAUAUAUUUAUGAUAUUUUGCAGGAGUAUACAUGUUCGUUUCUAUG